CCCAGACUCCUACGGGAGGCAGCAGUGGGGAAUAUUGCACAAUGGGGGAAACCCUGAUGCAGCGACGCCGCGUGAGCGAAGAAGUACCUCGGUAUGUAAAGCUCUCUCAGCAGGGAAGAAGAUGACGGUACCUGACCAAGAAGCUCCGGCUAAAUACGUGCCAGCAGCCGCGGUAAUACGUAUGGAGCAAGCGUUAUCCGGAUUUACUGGGUGUAAAGGGCGUGCAGCCGGGCUGACAAGUCAGAUGUGAAAUCCCGCGGCUCAACCGCGGAACUGCAUUUGAAACUGUCAGUCUUGAGUACCGGAGAGGUCAUCGGAAUUCCUUGUGUAGCGGUGAAAUGCGUAGAUAUAAGGAGGAACACCAGUGGCGAAGGCGGUCUGCUGGACAGCAACUGACGCUGAGGCGCGAAAGCGUGUGGAGCAAACAGGAUUAGAUCCCCCUGUA
rnacentral:rRNA from 1 species